rnacentral:rRNA from 1 species
GACGUAGGGCGCGAGCGUUGUCCGGAUUUAUUGGGCGUAAAGAGCUCGUAGGCGGCUUGUUGCGUCGACCGUGAAAACCCGGGGCUCAACUUCGGGCUUGCGGUCGAUACGGGCGGGCUAGAGUUCGGUAGGGGAGACUGGAAUUCCUGGUGUAGCGGUGAAAUGCGCAGAUAUCAGGAGGAACACCGGUGGCGAAGGCGGGUCUCUGGGCCGAUACUGACGCUGAUGCGCGACAGCGUGGGGAGCAAACAGG